AUUGAACGCUGGCGGCAUGCCUUACACAUGCAAGUCGAACGGUAACGCGGGGCAACCUGGCGACGAGUGGCGAACGGGUGAGUAAUGCAUCGGAACGUGCCUGGUAGUGGGGGAUAACUGCUCGAAAGAGCAGCUAAUACCGCAUACGACCUGAGGGUGAAAGGGGGGGAUCGCAAGACCUCUCGCUAUCAGAGCGGCCGAUGUCGGAUUAGCUAGUUGGUGGGGUAAAGGCCCACCAAGGCGACGAUCCGUAGCUGGUCUGAGAGGACGACCAGCCACACUGGGACUGAGACACGGCCCAGACUCCUACGGGAGGCAGCAGUGGGGAAUUUUGGACAAUGGACGCAAGUCUGAUCCAGCCAUGCCGCGUGCGGGAAGAAGGCCUUCGGGUUGUAAACCGCUUUUGUCAGGGAAGAAAUCUUCUGAGUUAAUACCUCGGGAGGAUGACGGUACCUGAAGAAUAAGCACCGGCUAACUACGUGCCAGCAGCCGCCGUAAGAC
rnacentral:rRNA from 1 species